GGCCCACCUGUAUCUGGAUGCUGCAGGUGCUGAUACCCUCGGGCAGGAUAGAGUUUGAGGUCGUCUCCUAUGCCCUGUAUGUUAGCCUGGGUUUUGGCCCAUGAGUUGGAGAGGAAGAGGAGUAUGGGACUUCUCUUUCUCCCCUAAAAUAAUGACCUGGUUGUGUUUGGGAAGUGAGACACCUACCUGUGGGGAGAGUUGAGGCUAAGCCAUGCAUAGAUGUAAUCCUUCCAUCCAGCCCCAAACAAAAAUCCCUUCAAAGGGUAUUCCCUUUCCAUUCCUGCCCCAAACAUUUAUUUCUGGUCCCCACAGAUAAAUCCCCUCCACAUACUGCAGCAUGCUGCCUUUUGUAAUCUUUGCUUUGGUGUCUGAAUCUCCGUGUCCAUUUUAUGAGGAGGUCUAGAUGAAGCAGGCAGGCCUAAGAUGGCAGAGCAAGACAGGGAAAAACAAGCUCCACAGCAGCGAACAGAAACAUGCUGGGAAAUGAGUCCUGAAGGCAGCUCGGCCUGUGCCGCCAGUAGCGUUUCACUCCCACUGACACCAUGGCUGAGGCCUGGCAUUAUUAUGAGAAGAGACGUGGGCCCACAGCUGCAUCCUUUUCCUGUCAGAGGCACCUGCUGAGCUGAUCAGCUCUGCCAUCUGAUGAGCUCUCUGCAGCGACAGGAGGAGCAGAUGAAUUAAAGGCUUUGUCUGCUGCUUGUUUGAUUGUUCUUACUCUCUUCAGCAUUCUACAACUCCACCAGGGACAAGCCAACGUGAGUCCAGCUCAGAAGUUCAGCCACAUUUGCCUCGUCAACAAUUGCCCAGAAGCAACCCAUGUGACCCUCCCUAGAUUGUAUAUUCCAUUAGUAUAAAUUAUUAAAAUGAAAUAUUUUACAAGGGGUUACAGACCUAUUCUAAAUUAAUCCUUUUAUUCCAUUAUGAGGCAAUAAACCUUUACAUU